CUUUCCCCUCUGGAUCUUGUCACUGUGGCUUUGCUGCUUGGGCAGCCGGGAGUGGUGACAAGCAGGGAAGACAGUCCCCAGGGCAGCUGGCCAUGCCACUCCAGCCUGGCUGCCAGCUCACCCAUCACUGCCCAUCUCAUCACCCACAGGGGCCCAGAUGAAACCAGGAAUCGGCCUGGCUGCCCUUGCCUCCCAGUGUCACAGUAGAGAGCAGGGGAGCCACUGGCCCCCUCCCCAAAACGUGGGCAGUGUUAACCACACCUUGCCCAGGUCCCUGGACCUUGAAGCUGGACUUGGGGAGAAUGGGCCAACUCUCUGCUCCCAGGCACCCAGGACCUGCUAGACAGGGAAGGAACUGGUGAAUGAGACAGGGUGCUUGAGGAGGGGGUUGGGGAAUGAAGCCACUAUGAGGAACCCAGUGUGUUUUGGGCAUAAACUUUUUAUUUCGUCGCUUUACCAUGCACAAGAAUGAUGACCCCACAUGCCCCUGGUGCUGUGUUAAAUAAUCGUCCUUCUCGCCUCGGGUCUGUCUCACGGUAUUAGUUCUGGGGCAUCAAUCAGCCAGUUUGUGCUCUGCAAUCUGAGAACAAUCAUUUCUAUAAAAUCAGUAAGGCAAAAAAGGAAUCAUAAUACAAAGGAGGGAAAGUUGCACUGACUGCUGUUUUCCUGUUUUUUUAAUCAGCAGUGCAGCUUUCCGUCCAGGUUUUGAUGUCCUGAUUGAUUCAUGCUUUCACGGGUUCAUUCAUGUAUUUACUCAACAACCAUUGCUCAUCCGAGUGCCAGGUCCUGAGCUGCGUCCUGGGAGCCAGUGAGAAAGCCAGACAAGGUUCUUGCUUACAUAGUGUUUAGAGUUGAUCAAAACCAAACAAACGCACAACAAAAUGUGAUUCCCCCAAGGGGCCAGAGAGCAGUGUCAGAGUGCCCAGCCUGGGGACCCAGACAUUGGGCUCUUCCAGUGGAACACUUGGAAAUCACCCAGAAUUCUUCUCUCGUCCCAGGAUCAACAUCUUCCCAUCCCUCUCCUGCCUUGGCAGUUUCGCUUUUCCUAACAAUCAGGCCAUCUGGUAAUGGGGGGAUGUACGAAUGUGAAACUGAAUCUCAGCUUGGACACUCGCUGGCCAGGUGACCUUAGGCAAAUUGCUUCAUCUCUGAGUCACAGUUUAUUUACUUUUCUGUGAAACGCACAGGCACCCACAAAUGGCUGGACAUCAAGAGGAGCAUGUCAGAGGAGGAGCACGCGGGCUGCUGGAUGUCGAGAGGAAUGUACCGAUAGUCCCUGGCAUGAUGGCAGGCCAUCGACCAUCGACCAGCUGAACUAGCAGAGUUUGGCUGAGGCAGAGUUUGGCUGGGAAGUCAGAGGAGAGUGGCCCAACUGCAGGGGAAAACCAUCCCCCUUCUGGCUCCCCCAUCUGCUGAGGGCUACUUCCACUCAAUAAAACCUUGCACUCAUUCUCCAAACC
rnacentral:lncRNA from 1 species